rnacentral:rRNA from 1 species
CAACCUGAGCUCAGUCGUGAUUACCCGCUG